CACUGGACUUGUGCAGGAACGCUAGCUUGGAAUUUAUAGUAAUGUGGCGUUGUAGGGGAACUCUUAAGGGCUACGUGAACAUGGGUCUAAUGCAGAGUGUCGUGUGGUCGCUGAUAGCAUUGGAGCUCGGCAUCUCGGUCCAAUUUGGUGAUUGCCGUUCGAUCCCCACGCUGCUAGUGUUGAGAAGGCAUAUUUGCCACCUCAAGGCCGAGGCUGGAUGUUGGAUCCGAAGCAGACACAGCUGCUUGAGCUGCUGUGGACUACAUGUUGCGUAAGUAGAGCAACGAUAGAACAUACCAGCUAAGUCGUCCACAGAGGGAUGCGAAGGUGAUCCUGGCUUGAUGGGAUGCUGGAGUUCUAUCUUUGUGGAAUUUGGCUUUUGUCGUUGGAAACGUUCAUUGUUAUGAUCUUCAAGAUCAGUAUGGCUUUCCUGUCCUGAGUAAUUUGUAAUACUUGUGGCUGAGUAGUUUGCCUAAUUUCAUGUUCAUGUAUGAUGUUCUGUUUCCAUGUUA